UCUCCGUAGGUGAACCUGCGGAGGGAUCAUCACUGAUGGGGAGCCUCUCGUAGAGAGGCGACUCUUUGUUCCCUUGUGAAUUUGGGGAGCGGCGGCAUUCGCCACCGCUCCCUUUCUGCAUAGAUUCCUUUGCAAUAGUCGGUCCAAACCAAUAAAUAUAAUCAUUAUAACAAAAACACAACUUUCAACAAUGGAUCUCUUGGCUCUC
rnacentral:misc_RNA from 1 species